UAAUCUCCUUGAAAGUUUUUGUUCUGUAAAAAUGACUGCAUUCUGUGUAGGAUCUCUGAGAAACCAGAGAAGAAAUGCUAAAACAAUUAUUAGGGAAAGUAGGACAAAGAACAUUGGAGAAAGAGAACUCAUAGUGAAGAGAUGAGCCCCAGAGGAGUAAUCAAGUAGAAAUUCUCCAAGUAGAUAAUCAACAUGCAUAUAAUAACCAUGAUAUAUGUCUUAUAUUGUAUGGGCUGCAAGAAACUAAGUAUUGUUAGGUUGUGCAUUUGUUUGGAAGCGGGAGAGCUAGGUUCUUGUCUCACAGAGUUGAAAAAUAAAUCUUGGAGACAAAAGAGAGUGAGUAUAGUGAUAGAGUUUUAUUAAGCAAAAAUGCAGAAAAAGCUCUUAGGAGUGAGAAAGGUCCCAACAGGGUUGCCACUGAGGGCUUUUAGGGUUGGUCUUUGAUUGAAGGCUAACCAGGGAACUUAAAACUUAUUCUCUACUGACAGCAUCUUUAUGUAAGCAAUAAUACUUAGUGAUAACUUAGUAAUACUAGUGAUAACACCUUUAUUGGCUUAUUUCUUUUUAGGGUCUUUGUAUUUCCUGUUGACCAUAGGUGACUGUCAUAAAAAAGAUACCCCCCCUUCCCCUCAGACACCUAGAGCAGAGUGGUCUGAUGUGUUCACUUAUCUCUGGUUUCCUUACACCUCUGCAUUUUUUGGGAUUUCUGUGAGCCUGAUCACAUAGCCACCUAUCUAUCCCUCCUACCCAGCCCUGUCUGUCCCUUACUCAUUAUCAUCAUAAAUGAAAGAAAUAUACAGUCAUGAAAAGAUGGUUUUCUGGAUAAUUUGAGACUGAUCAUACUUUCUAAAAUCUGUGUUUAGUUAGGACUCCUGUUUAGUUGUGAUGCUUUUUAAAAGAGUUUCUUUUUGACUUACUAAGUAUUGUUGCUAAUUGUGUUUACAUCUAAUUGUAUCAAUGAAGUAGAAGGCCUUAGUAUAUUUUUUAAAGGUCUUAUUUGAGAGAGAGCACCAGUACCUGCACACAUGAGUGUCGGAGGGGCUGAGGGAGAAGCAGACUCCUCACUGAGCACAGAGCCUAAUAUAGGGCUUGAUCCUGGGUGGCUGAGAUCAUGACCUGAGCCGAAGUCAGACACUUAACGAACUGAUCCAUCCCAGCACCCCAGCCUUCAUGUUUUUAAAAUAACUCUAACAUGCCAUAAAAUCAUAUAUUACUGUGUAUAAAUGAUUAGAUAUAAUUAGGCUGACAAAGACAUAGGACUAGAAAUACACUCGGGGUUAGAUUGGGUGGCUUUUAAAAAUACGUGUCUGAGAUGAACAAAUGAAUGCAAACAAAAGAACAAAGGUAGCAAUACCAAGUAGAGGACAGUAAGGAGUUCAACGAACUUGUAGAAAGGGAUGACUUUAGGGAAAUUAAAUUAGAUUGGUUGAUAGGAUAAAUAAUAUCCUAAUAAGAAGGCAAACAAGAUUUUAAAAUUUUAUUUUAAAAUUUCCGAUAUAUUGCAGACCAGUGUGUAAAAUAUAAUAUAAAUGAAAAGCCACAGAAUAUAUGCCUCAAUUUUUUAUUAGUAGAUUCAGUAGCCAUACAUGGAUAAUGUCUCAUGUUCUUUUUCCUCUUUAAUUCUUCCUUUUCCUUUCUUUUUGCUUUUGAGGUUUGUAGUUUAUUUAAAAACAGCAUUUUUCCAUGUUUCAACAUAUAACCAAAAUGAUCCCAGAGAAAUGGAAAGCCUGAUCUUCAUGAAUACUUAGAAUGUUGCAGAUGAGACAGCAGAGAAGAAAUGGAAUAACUACCAACAGUAGCUGGGGGCCAGAAUAAUGCCAUAGAACAACCCAAAUGGAGGAAUAAUUUCAAAGAAAGAUGAAAAAGAAAAAAAAAAAAAAAAACUCCCAGUGAAUGAUACAGAAGA